rnacentral:rRNA from 1 species
AUUGAACGCUGGCGGCAUGCCUAACACAUGCAAGUCGAACGGCAGCACGGGAGCUUGCUCCUGGUGGCGAGUGGCGGACAGGUGAGUAAUGCAUAGGAAUCUGCCCAGUAGCGGGGGACAACUUGGGGAAACUCAAGCUAAUACCGCAUGCGCCCUACGGGGGAAAGCGGGGGACCUUCGGGCCUCGCACUAUUGGAUGAGCCUAUGUCAGAUUAGCUUGUUGGUGGGGUAACGGCCUACCAAGGCGACGAUCUGUAGCUGGUCUGAGAGGACGAUCAGCCACACUGGGACUGAGACACGGCCCAGACUCCUACGGGAGGCAGCAGUGGGGAAUAUUGCACAAUGGGCGAAAGCCUGAUGCAGCAAUGCCGCGUGUGUGAAGAAGGCCUGCGGGUUGUAAAGCACUUUCAGUAGGGAGGAAACAGUAGCCGGUUAAUAUCCGGUUGCCUUGACGUUACCUACAGAAGAAGCA